CUGGGAACCUGCCCCCAGUUGGUUCUGAUUGGUAAAUAGAGAUGCCAGCAGUCAAUAGCUAGGAAGGACAGACAGAGGCGGGAUUUUAGGACCCUGCCCCCUCUUGGGACCGGAAGCAGAGAGGAGAAGGAGGAGAUCCAUCAGGUUGGAAGAGUGUGGAGUGACGCCAUGCUUGAGAAGAGAGCAGGACAAAAGAGCACGGCCCUGAGGGUUGCCCAACAGGGUCUAGAGCGGCCAAGAUAGAACAUAGAAUUCAGCAAAGUGGAAUAUGUUUGUGAAACUCCCUGGAAAGACUUGAACAAAUGUCAAUUCAUCCAAGAUGAGGGACUAAUAACAGACUGAGGAUCUUUCACUGAACGUGGAGCCAGACUGGACACCAGCAAGCCCCAGAGACCCUCCUGUCUCCACUCCUUGAAAUGCUAGGGUCACAGGUGUGCAACGGCCAUAUUUGGCUUUUUAUGUGCACUCUGAGGACUUGAACUGAGGUCCUCACAGUAGCUCAGCAAGUGGUCUUACUGUCUCAGCCAUUUCUCCAGCCCCACGUUGUCAGAGUUUUAAAGAGAAGCUGGCAACUCAAGCUUUUUAUGUGAAAUAACUGUUUAAAAAAAAAAUAGUAGCAACUAAAUAAAAUUAAAAGUGAC
rnacentral:lncRNA from 1 species